rnacentral:lncRNA from 1 species
AUAAUUCAUUUCAUUAUCAAAACAUAAUAGAAUUCCUAACUUUAACCAAACGUCAACAUGAUUUCAGAACAUAUGGCUUACUAACAUGGAUUCAUUCUUGUCUAAUUCUAACAUCUAAACAUGAGUAUCUACAGAAUUAAUAGCAAGCAUGCCGAAAAUGUUCAGUCGCCUAAACUCAUAUGGCAACUUCAACAAGCCAUAGUUUAAUCCAGUCCCAAAAUUACAACUAGAACACUAUACUAACUUAAAGCUUAAACAUUUGAACUUUGAAGCUUACUCAGGGAAAGAAUGUUAAUGCCAAUACUUAAUCACAACUAGAAAACAGUAAUUACUAAACCAUUUGACAUAGUAGAUGCUAAACAAAAGAAAACAGGUACUGAAAAAUCCAUUCCCACUUAAACAAUGUUAACACUUCAACUUGCCAUUUCAGGGGGUGUGAAAAUACCUGGAUAUAGCCAAAACAACAAACAAACUUCAGCAAAAAAGAUAGUGAGAUCAGCAGAGCUUAACAGCAGUAGUUAGUAGCAAAACAACCAGUUUAUUCCACGUUUAGAACCCAUGAACCAGCAAAGUAUUGAAGCUCCCUUUUUAAAACCCAGAAAAAUGAAAAUCAGCUCCUCAACAGAAUAUAUUCGAGUUUUUUUAGUGUUUUCCAGCUCUAAAAGUUCUAUCUCCGUCCCGCCUUAGUGAAAGAAAAUGGUGCUCUUUAUAGGCCUCCAAGGGGCCAUGUGCUGGAUAACCAACAAGGGAAAUAUUCCCUUCCAGCCUGAAAAUAAGGCAUUUUUUUAACCACCUGGGACAACUGGAUGUCCCCUAUUGGUUCAGCAUUUUUGUGCAAACAAAAUGAGGCCAGCUGCCCCUGUUCUAGAGCUUUCCAAAUAGAAAUUAUCUGGAAAUACUUGUUAUUAUUUCAUAACUUAAACCCCUAAGUUUUCAAUUGUUCAACUAAAACCAUAGGAGUUUAUAACAAUUUACAAACUAAGGCAAAGAUCACAAAGCAGAUAGAUGUGAUUGAAACAAAUCAAACAAUUAACACAUACUGAAAGGGUGAAAAUCCAGACCCUUAAAACAAAUCAGAAGAAUUCAACUUCAUGAUGAACUUUCAAAAUCUAAUUUUAACGGCCAGUGACGGACUUAACUACAAUUAAAAGAAGAAUGGACAUGGAGCAUUUACAACAUUGAAUCACAAAACAAAAGGAAACCGUAAAAUCUAAAAUCAUGCAAUUAGAAACACAGAUUAUAACAAAAUAAGAAUAACAAAAAAUCAUGAUAGCAUAUGACCUACACAAAACAGAAACCUCACCUAAUCUAAAAUCAAAUAGACAGAAAAAUCAAACCAUUUGAGCGAGUGACUACUAAUGGCCAAUAACCUAAAAUAACAGACCAGCCGAUAAUAAUAAUAAAUAAAAAACAAAAAAAUAUCAGAAAACAAGCAAACAAAGCAAAAAUCAAAGAAGAAAAAAAAAGGAGGUGAUGACUAACCGGACAAAGCUUGGGGGAAUGAUUGAAUCCAAAAAAAUGACCAAAAGGGUGAAGGAACAGUGUCUGUCCAAGCAAUUGUAGCUCUUAAAAUCGAACCAAAACUCAUAUUAACCAAAGGCUCUCAACGAGAACGCUUGGCUAACACAAAUCUUGAGUCGUAUUGAAUUCUGGAAGCCGAAGAGUCGGACUUAAAACAACUAAAGUUUUUUUUUAAUUUUUGGAUCCAAAAUUCGGGGAGUUUGAGGGUGAUUUUGGGGGAAUUAAUGAUGGAUUUGGGAAGAGGAGGGGGCAAGGGUUGCCUAGUAUCAAUUUGUGAAGGUUUGAAGGGAUUGGGGUUUUGGAACUCUGAUCUUUAGAUCUAAGAUUCGAGACUCUUGGCAAGGAUUUGAGGGAGAUGGAUUGGAGAUUUGGAACGGGAAGGGGAGGGAGAUCACAAGUUGUUAUUGUGGGGUGGUUUGGAGACCGGCCGCCGCCGUGGGCAAUUUCCGGCGGGUGGUUGAUGGCGGAGACGGUAAGGAUAUUGGGGCGGCUAGGGUUUCUCUUGGUUUUAGGGUUAAAGAUGGACUGGGGGGG